UACGAAGGGGGCUAGCGUUGCUCGGAAUUACUGGGCGUAAAGGGCGCGUAGGCGGACAGUUUAGUCAGAGGUGAAAGCCCAGGGCUCAACCUUGGAAUAGCCUUUGAUACUGACUGUCUUGAGUUCGGGAGAGGUGAGUGGAAUGCCGAGUGUAGAGGUGAAAUUCGUAGAUAUUGGGAAGAACACCGGUGGCGAAGGCGGCGACCUGGUCCGAUACUGACGCUGAGGCGCGAAAGCGUGGGGAGCAAACAGG
rnacentral:rRNA from 1 species